rnacentral:rRNA from 1 species
GUGAGGAAUAUUGGUCAAUGGGCGAGAGCCUGAACCAGCCAAGUCGCGUGAAUGAUGAAGGUUUUAUGAAUUGUAAACUUCUUUUGCAGGGGAAUAAAGUACGGUACGUGUACCGUUUUGUAUGUACUCUGCGAAUAAGGAUCGGCUAACUCCGUGCCAGCAGCCGCGGUAAUACGGAGGAUCCAAGCGUUAUCCGGAUUUAUUGGGUUUAAAGGGUGCGCAGGCGGGUUGAUAAGUCAGCGGUGAAAGUUUGCAGCUUAACUGUAAAAUUGCCGUUGAAACUGUCGAUCUUGAGUGCAAAUGAGGUAAGCGGAAUGUGUUGUGUAGCGGUGAAAUGCUUAGAUAUAACACAGAACUCCGAUUGCGAAGGCAGCUUACUGGGAUGCAACUGACACUGAUGCACGAAAGCGUGGGGAUCAAACAGGAUUAGAUACCCCGGUAGUCC